GGCUGCCACCAGCACUACGCUCAGUAAUUAAGAACUUCUGGGAAUAGGGCACUUUACUCACAGUGACAGGUGCUUCCUCCCUGCUGAACCUUCGACCUAUCGGUUUCAACAACGUGGACCCAGGAGCGGUGAUCGGGGUUUGAGGAAUGCAAUGACUAGAACAGCCUGGCUGUCUGCUAGGAUUUUUUGGGAGAGGACUUAGAAAAAUGGCAUUGUCUUCACAAACAGAUGGAGGCAGAGAGCACUUUCCCUUCCCACAGCUCCCAUUGGGCUGAAACAGCGAACCG